AUGGUCGGAAAGAGCGGAAAGGAGAGGAGAGGAAAAGGACGUGGCCGGCCGGCUGCCGAUAUAAAGCAUAUAGCCGAAGGAAAGCUCACCCCGCACUACUUCUCGGGCGUACGUAGCGCGGCCACACACACACCAGCAGCUAUCGUCGUCGAACACUCGACUCAGAGCCAGCCAGCGGAGGAGAGCGCGCGCGCACGAGCUCUAGCUCGGACCUCCACCAACACUUCGCCGAUCGUUACGAUGGCGAGUCCGGCGUUCCUGCUGCUGCUCUUGCUGGCCGUGUCGAUCACGGGAUCAGACGCGGAGUGGUGCGUGUGCAGGUCGGACGCGAACGAGACGGCGCUGCAGGAGACGCUGGACUACGCGUGCGGGCAGGGCGCGGACUGCGCGCCGGUGGCCACGGGAGGGAGCUGCCACAGCCCCGACUCCGUGGUGGCGCACUGUUCCUACGCGGUCAACAGCUACUACCAGAGGAGCAGCCAGACCAAGGGCGCCACCUGCGACUUCGGCGGCACCGCCACCCUCUCCUCCGCCGAUCCCAGCUCGGGAACCUGCAAGUACCCUGCAACCGCAAGUGCUGCAGGGACGAGCACCGGGAACGGCACGGCGACAGGCACAGGCACCGGCACCAACUCUUCUUCCCCGGGCUCAACAAACCCAGCUACCCCCGGCAUGGGAGGGAGCUUCACCACGCCGAUCGGCAGCGCGUCCGGCCCUACGGCGAGCAUCAUAGGCCCCGAGAGCAGCGGUUUAGGUGCCGCCGCGGCCGCCUUUGCUGGCGUCCGCGGCCUCCUCGGCGUAGCCGUGGCCUCCGUCCUCGCUUUCUAG
rnacentral:rRNA from 1 species